rnacentral:misc_RNA from 1 species
UUUCCGUAGGUGAACCUGCGGAAGGAUCAUUACCGAGUGAGAGACCUCUGGGUCCAACUUCCCACCCGACCUUAUUCUACCUUGUUGCUUUGGGGCGCGCGCCUCACCGCCGCCGGGGGGCUUCUGCCCCCCGGCGCGUGCCCGCCGAAGACACCCUAGCACUCUGUCUGUAGAUUGUAGUCUGAGUAAACAUAUAUAUUUUUUAAAAAUUUCAACAACGCAUCUCUUGUUUCCCUCAUCGAUGAAGAAAGCAGCGGAUAGGAAAAGCACACACGUCAA